rnacentral:lncRNA from 1 species
AGGAGAUGCCUGGGACAAGGAGGCCACCUUCUCAGGGCAAAAGAAAAAGAAGGUGACAGGCGUUGAGACCACCGAAGGGAACCCAUGGCUAGUGAACUUUAAAAGCAGACAGACCGAGGUCCUUUUGAAUCAAUAUACAAAGUGAACUUCACAGAUGAAUACACUUAUCCAUACAUUAUAAUAACCUGAAGCUUUUAAAAAAUAUUAAUGUGGAUCUACAUGCACCAAUAAGGGAAAGUUAUAAAAUAAAGUGGGGGAAAGAUGCAGAACAGCAGGUAUGGUGGACUACCAUUUGUGUAAAACCGAGGGAAUGGAU